GUCUGAUUCCAUUGGACCUUUUUGCAUUGUUUCCCAAAAAGGAUGAGCCUAGAGGCACGAGACCAUUAUAAUUCAAUCUAUUAUUUAUUUUUACUUUUUGAAAAGGUUCUGAUGUUGCAACCAAUGAGCCUUUGCUCAGGAAAGAUGCUUCUAAGCCAUCUGAUAUGAGCGAUGUUGCACCACAAUGUUCUGUACAUUCAGAGAAGCAUGCAGGAAGAAUUGCAAUACUUCACCACUGCCCUUAAUCUCUACUUCAAAUAUAACGUGCCAUUGACUCAUUAGG